CUUCCUCCCAGGCACCUCCCUCCACCCGGUUGUAGCUGUUCCUCACCGCUGGGCAAGCGCUUCCCCCUCCUCCCCCACCACCCCAGGAUGGAUUGGUACCUUUCCUGCCUUCCUCAGCCACCUUGCCAAGAGGCCAUUUUCUCUCUCCACUCUUUCCUUCAACUCUGCUAACAACGAAAGUACAUCCUAAAUUGGCCUGGUUUCACACUACAGGAGAUUUGACACCUUCCUCCUCGGAAGCAGCUGUGAGACACCACCAUCUUUCUCCCAAGGCCCAGCUAUUAACUCAACAGUCCCCAGACCCAAGCGAAGUCAGCAGAAGAAAGAAAUGGUUCGAGGCAAAUAGAAAGAUGCUGAGAGGGGCCAUCACCUUAGUCUCACUCACCAGACUGACUGCGCGUGCGGGUGCUCAGAACCACAGGAAUAAAGUCACGGAAACUGCUCUUUGCUUUCU
rnacentral:lncRNA from 1 species